GUGCUGCAAAAAGUGGGAAAUGUGUCUUACAAAUGACAUCUGCCGGAGAAGUCGGACAUUCAUCCAGUCUUCCAUGUGAGUCAACUAAAAAAGCACACUGGCCAUCAUGCUAUUCCUCUCCCGCAUGUGCCCCUGGUAACUCCAGAAGGAUGCAUUAAAACUUAUCCAGUAGCAGUUUUGGACAGGCGAGUUUUCAGAGAAACAAGCAGCCAGUAG
rnacentral:rRNA from 1 species